rnacentral:lncRNA from 1 species
AUCAAGAUCUGGACUUCAGAGCACGUCUUUGAUCACCUGUGGGAAAUUGUUACAACAGUUGCAAUGCACAAAUACCCAAAAGCCCUAUGAACCAGGGCAUGGUGUGGGUUGAUGUGUUGGACACACAUAUAGAUCCCAAUGAAGAGUUGCACAGCCACAGACUUCUCUGCACAGAGUGGGAACUACAAGUCUCUUAUUGGUACAGAAAGAACCAAAACAUAUGUGCUAGAAUAUUCUGUAGUUAAUCCUAUAGAGAAAACAAUGGAACUUAAAUCUACUAAUAUUUCACUUAAAAUAUGGUUUCAUUAGGUGAGAGACUUAUAUACAAACCACAUCCUCAGGACCCAGAAAAAAAUUAUUUUGACUCAAGAAGCCAUAAUCAGUGAAAGGAGGCAGCCUCAGCAGUUAUCUUGAAGGACUGAUGGCAAGUAGGAUAUCUUCAAAUGCUAUCAAAGGCACGGAAGCACUGGAAUGGGUCAUACAUAAAUUACAUGUUAAAAAAUGAAGAAUUGAUGGCUUUCACAAGAGGAGGCAUAAGAACUCCGGUGGUGGCUGCAGCAGCCUUCGUAGU